UACGUAGGUGGCAAGCGUUGUCCGGAAUUAUUGGGCGUAAAGAGCGCGCAGGCGGUCGUUCAAGUCGAGUGUGAAAGCCCCCGGCUCAACUGGGGAGGGUCAUUCGAUACUGAUCGACUGGAAGGCAGGAGAGGGAAGCGGAAUUCCCGGUGUAGUGGUGAAAUGCGUAGAUAUCGGGAGGAACACCAGUGGCGAAGGCGGCUUCCUGGCCUGUUCUUGACGCUGAGGCGCGAAAGCUAGGGGAGCAAACGGG
rnacentral:rRNA from 1 species